rnacentral:rRNA from 1 species
AGUGAGCGGCAAAAGCUCAAAUUUGAAAUCUGGCGCCUUCGGUGUCCGAGUUGUAAUUUGAAGAUUGUAACCUUGGGGUUGGCUCUUGUCUAUGUUUCUUGGAACAGGACGUCACAGAGGGUGAGAAUCCCGUGCGAUGAGAUGCCCAAUUCUAUGUAAGGUGCUUUCGAAGAGUCGAGUUGUUUGGGAAUGCAGCUCUAAGUGGGUGGUAAAUUCCAUCUAAAGCUAAAUAUUGGCGAGAGACCGAUAGCGAACAAGUACAGUGAUGGAAAGAUGAAAAGAACUUUGAAAAGAGAGUGAAAAAGUACGUGAAAUUGUUGAAAGGGAAGGGUUUGAGAUCAGACUCGAUAUUUUGUGAGCCUUGCCUUCGUGGCGGGGUGACCCGCAGCUUAUCGGGCCAGCAUCGGUUUGGGCGGUAGGAUAAUGGCGUAGGAAUGUGACUUUACUUCGGUGAAGUGUUAUAGCCUGCGUUGAUGCUGCCUGCCUAGACCGAGGACUGCGAUUUUAUCAAGGAUGCUGGCAUAAUGAUCCCAAACCGCCCGUCUUG